GGGUUUCGGCCUGGUUAUUCAUAACCCUUUGUUGUCCGACUCUGUUGCCUCCGGGGCGACCCUGCCUUCGGGCGGGGGCUCCGGGUGGACACUUCAAACUCUUGCGUAACUUUGCAGUCUGAGUAAACUUAAUUAAUAAAUUAAAACUUUUAACAACGGAUCUCUUGGUUCUGGCAUCGAUGAAGAACGCAGCGAAAUGCGAUAAGUAAUGUGAAUUGCAGAAUUCAGUGAAUCAUCGAAUCUUUGAACGCACAUUGCGCCCCCUGGUAUUCCGGGGGGCAUGCCUGUUCGAGCGUCAUUUCACCACUCAAGCCUCGCUUGGUAUUGGGCAACGCGGUCCGCCGCGUGCCUCAAAUCGUCCGGCUGGGUCUUCUGUCCCCUAAGCGUUGUGGAAACUAUUCGCUAAAGGGUGUUCGGGAGGCUACGCCGUAAAACAACCCCAUUUCUAAGGUUGACCUCGGAUCAGGUAGGGAUACCCGCUGAACUUAAGCAUAUCAAUAAGCGGAGGAAAAGAAACCAACAGGGAUUGCUCUAGUAACGGCGAGUGAAGCAGCAAUAGCUCAAAUUUGAAAUCUGGCGUCUUCGACGUCCGAGUUGUAAUUUGUAGAGGAUGCUUCUGAGUGGCCACCGACCUAAGUUCCUUGGAACAGGACGUCAUAGAGGGUGAGAAUCCCGUAUGCGGUCGGAAAGGCGCUCUAUACGUAGCUCCUUCGACGAGUCGAGUUGUUUGGGAAUGCAGCUCUAAAUGGGAGGUAAAUUUCUUCUAAAGCUAAAUAUUGGCCAGAGACCGAUAGCGCACAAGUAGAGUGAUCGAAAGAUGAAAAGCACUUUGGAAAGAGAGUUAAAAAGCACGUGAAAUUGUUAAAAGGGAAGGGAUUGCAACCAGACUUGCUCGCGGUGUUCCGCCGGUCUUCUGACCGGUCUACUCGCCGCGUUGCAGCCAGCAUCGUCUGGUGCCGCUGGAUAAGACUUGAGG
rnacentral:rRNA from 1 species